ACUGGCGCAAGGGUGAGUAAUAUGUAAGUAAUUUACCUGUGGAUUCGGAAUAACUCGUCGAAAGGCGGGCUAAUACCGUAUAAUGCAGCGGCAUCGCAUGAUGAUGUUGUUAAAGUUGCAGCAAUGUAACGUCUACAGAUAAGCUUGCAUCUGAUUAGCUAGUUGGCGGGGUAACUGCCCACCAAGGCUACGAUCAGUAGCUGGUCUGAGAGGAUGAUCAGCCACACUGGAACUGAGACACGGUCCAGACUCCUACGGGAGGCAGCAGUGAGGAAUAUUGGGCAAUGGACGCAAGUCUGACCCAGCAACGCCGCGUGGAGGAUGAAAGCCGUAAGGUUGUAAACUCCUUUUGAAGGGGACGAAAAAUCAAGUUUCGUAAGGGACUUGAACUGACGGUACCCUUAGAAGAAGCCCCGGCUAACUACGUGCCAGCAGCCGCGGUAAUACGUAGGGGGCAAGCGUUGUCCGGAUUCACUGGGUGUAAAGGGCGCGUAGGCGGGUUUGUAAGUCAGUGGUGAAAUCCUGCGGCUUAACCGUAGAACUGCCAUUGAUACUGCAAAUCUUGAGUUUGGAAGAGAGAAGCGGAAUUCCAGGUGUAGUGGUGAAAUACGUAGAUAUCUGGAAGAACACCAGUGGCGAAGGCGGCUUCUUGGUCCAUAACUGACGCUGAGGCGCGAAAGCGUGGGGAUCAAACAGGAUUAGAUACCCUGGUAGUCCACGCUGUAAACGAUGAAUACUAG
rnacentral:rRNA from 1 species